UAGCGCUGUGAUUGGACCACCAACAUAGCGCUGUGAUUGGAUGAUUAAACCAACAUAGCGCUGUGAUUGGACCACCAACAUAGCGCUGUGAUUGGACCACCAACAUAGCGCUGUGAUUGGAUGAUUAAACCACCAUAGCGCUGUGAUUGGACCAUUAAACCAAUAGAACGCUGUGAUUGGACCACCAACAUAGCGCUGUGAUUGGAUGAUUAAACCAACAUAGCGCUGUGAUUGGACCGUUAAACCGAUAGAACGCUGUGAUUGGACCGUUAAACCGAUAGAACGCUGUGAUUGGACCGUUAAACCGAUAGAACGCUGUGAUUGGACCGUUAAACCGAUAGAACGCUGUGAUUGGACCGUUAAACCGAUAGAAUGCUGUGAUUGGACCGUUAAACCGAUAGAACGCUGUGAUUGGACAGUUAAACCGAUAGAACGCUGUGAUUGGACCACCAACAUAGCGCUGUGAUUGGAUGAUUAAACCAACAUAGCGCUGUGAUUGGAUGAUUAAACCACCAUAGCGCUGUGAUUGGACCAUUAAACCAAUAGAACGCUGUGAUUGGACCAUUAAACCGAUAGAACGCUGUGAUUGGACCACCAACAUAGCGCUGUGAUUGGAUGAUUAAACCAACAUAGCGCUGUGAUUGGACCAUUAAACCAAUAGAACGCUGUGAUUGGACCAUUAAACCGAUAGAACGCUGUGAUUGGACCACCAACAUAGCGCUGUGAUUGGAUGAUUAAACCAACAUAGCGCUGUGAUUGGACCGUUAAACCGAUAGAACGCUGUGAUUGGACCGUUAAACCGAUAGAACGCUGUGAUUGGACCGUUAAACCGAUAGAACGCUGUGAUUGGACAGUUAAACCGAUAGAACGCUGUGAUUGGACCAUUAAAGCAACAUAUCACUGUAAUUGGACCUCCAUGCUAGGCUAGGCCUUGUCCACCAGAAGCAGUUAGUCUAUCUAACACAUACAAACAGCACCUUUAUCCACGGUAAGUGUUGGAGGCUAACGCUGUAGCAGCUGCAGUCUGGAUGUGGGGAUGGUCUUCUUUGCCAUGAGCACAUAAAUGCACCUGUAGCUCAUUUGGUCGGUUCUCCUUCAAACUAGAGCCGAGUCUGAGGUAGGAACUGUAAACACAACAGCAGGUAGUGGAAUUUGGGGGUAAGAACGGAGAACCCGGUCGUAGAGGAUGUUGUCUCUGAUCUCACACCAGUCUCUCUCCUGGGAGUCCAGAGUGUGGUGUUUGUUCUCCAGCCUCGUCUGAAGCUCGACAGCUUGUGAUUGCUAGGCUGUAGUGGAGGAAAGAGCCCUUCAGCAGCAGCAGGUAAACUUGUGUGAUGAGGUCAUCUACUGGACCAGAGGUGGAGCUAUGACAUCGUUGUUCUCAGAGAGUUGUGUGUCAGCAGAGGAACAACUCUCGUCUCAAAAUGCCCGACUGGUUCAUGCAAAAACACUUUCAUUUGAAACGACUCGGUAAUUUCCAUGGUGGGUAUUUGCUGCACUAGUUAGCAGCAUCUGGUUCUGAUAGAACAACUGGUCUCAGACUAGCUGUUAGCACGUCAGUCAGCUCUGAACCGAGCCGUCUGUGCUGCAGCUCCUUCGCCUCCAGCUUCUCCAUCAAAGCGCGGAUGCUGAAGUGGAGAGGGUGACAACAGCCGGACCGCUCCAACCCCACCUUCAUGAGACAUAACUCAGUCUGCUCUCUGGGUCCGGCUGCUGUCACGACCCGUUUCCUCCAUCGGAGUCUUGCUGCAGAUGAUGUAUAAAAACCGAACUGUCUAAACGGGAUUUCCACCUGCUGUAUUCAGGCGAGCGUUUUUGUAACAUAAAGUUGUGACUUUCAUCAGAUUCUGCAGUCUUUAGCAUUUAAAGCACAAAUGUUACAGCCAGCAGCGACGUGUAGCCCUCCUGGUGCAUGCAGGGGUCCGGCCAGGCAGAAUACUUCUGCUAAAAUAAAAAUGUCAAAUCAAUAAAAUGUAAAGCAGC